AUGUAGAUAUCAGAAGAGGAAGGUAGAUUGAAAAAGGAUGAAGAGGAACAAAAAGAAAUGUGGAAGAGAAAGCGUGAGCACGAGGAGCAGUGGGAAGGAACAAGAGAACAACGGGUUUCAAGCUGGAGAGACUUCAUGAAGACAGGAAAGAAGGGUAAGAAAGGAGAAAUUCGACCCCCAAAGCUCAAGACAGAGGAUCCCAACAAAUCUUAUGUUCAAAGGCCUGUAAAGCGAGGUUAACUGGCAUGGUAGAUUUAUGAUUGCUGUGAUUGACAACUACUUGAGUUUUCUCAGUAUUUCAAGGCAUUGGAUGUAGAGUGAAAUUGUAUGGAUUCAUAGCCUUGUCUGUAAAAGGGCUUAUUACCGCUCAGAAAGAAGCCUUUCAGCUUGUCUUUUGCCUCGUUAAGUGAAGCUAAAUUCCGGUUUGGGAUUUGAUCCUUAAUUAGGUUAGAACCAUUGAAGGAGAAUGUAUAAUGCAUAUAUUAAUAUUUACGAGCUA